GUCUCAGUGGUCUAAAAGGACGCUCGCACGGAAUGCAAGAGAUCUGGGUUCGACUCCCGGCCGAGGCA
rnacentral:tRNA from 1 species